UACAGAGGGUGCAAGCGUUGUUCGGAAUUACUGGGCGUAAAGCGCGUGUAGGCUGCGAUCUAAGUCAGGUGUGAAAGCCCUCAGCUUAACUGAGGAAGUGCACUUGAUACUGGGUUGCUUGAGUGUCGGAGGGGGUGGCGGAAUUCCCGGUGUAGAGGUGAAAUUCGUAGAUAUCGGGAGGAACACCUGUGGCGAAGGCGGCCACCUGGACGACAACUGACGCUGAGACGCGAAAGCGUGGGUAGCAAACAGG
rnacentral:rRNA from 1 species